rnacentral:rRNA from 1 species
AUGAACGCUGGCGGCGUGCCUAAUACAUGCAAGUCGAGCGAACGGACGAGAAGCUUGCUUCUCUGAUGUUAGCGGCGGACGGGCGAGUAACACGUGGAUAACCUACCUAUAAGACUGGGAUAACUUCGGGAAACCGGAGCUAAUACCGGAUGAUAUUUUGAACCGCAUGGUUCAAAAGUGAAAGACGGUCUUGCUGUCACUUAUAGAUGGAUCCGCGCUGCAUUAGCUAGUUGGUAAGGUAACGGCUUACCAAGGCAACGAUGCAUAGCCGACCUGAGAGGGUGAUCGGCCACACUGGAACUGAGACACGGUCCAGACUCCUACGGGAGGCAGCAGUAGGGAAUCUUCCGCAAUGGGCGAAAGCCUGACGGAGCAACGCCGCGUGAGUGAUGAAGGUCUUCGGAUCGUAAAACUCUGUUAUUAGGGAAGAACAUAUGUGUAAGUAACUGUGCACAUCUUGACGGUACCUAAUCAGAAAGCCACGGCUAACUACGUG